rnacentral:rRNA from 1 species
UACGGAGGGUGCAAGCGUUAUCCGGAUUCACUGGGUUUAAAGGGUGCGUAGGCGGAUUGGUAAGUCCGUGGUGAAAUCUCUAAGCUUAACUUGGAAACUGCCAUGGAUACUAUUAGUCUUGAAUAUUGUGGAGGUUAGCGGAAUAUGUCAUGUAGCGGUGAAAUGCAUAGAUAUGACAUAGAACACCAAUUGCGAAGGCAGCUGGCUACACAAAUAUUGACGCUGAUGCACGAAAGCGUGGGGAGCAAACAGG